rnacentral:rRNA from 1 species
UGGGCGUUAAGUUGCAGGGUAUAGACCCGAAACCCGGUGAUCUAGCCAUGGGCAGGUUGAAGGUUGGGUAACACUAACUGGAGGACCGAACCGACUAAUGUUGAAAAAUUAGCGGAUGACCUGUGGCUGGGGGUGAAAGGCCAAUCAAACCGGGAGAUAGCUGGUUCUCCCCGAAAGCUAUUUAGGUAGCGCCUCGUGAAUUCAUCUCCGGGGGUAGAGCACUGUUUCGGCUAGGGGGCCAUCCCGGCUUACCAACCCGAUGCAAACUGCGAAUACCGGAGAAUGUUAUCACGGGAGACACACGGCGGGUGCUAACGUCCGUCGUGAAGAGGGAAACAACCCAGACCGCCAGCUAAGGUCCCAAAGUCAUGGUUAAGUGGGAAACGAUGUGGGAAGGCCCAGACAGCCAGGAUGUUGGCUUAGAAGCAGCCAUCAUUUAAAGAAAGCGUAAUAGCUCACUGGUCGAGUCGGCCUGCGCGGAAGAUGUAACGGGGCUAAACCAUGCACCGAAGCUGCGGCAGCGAACGUAUCACCCAAGACAACUUUACGGAGUUGACGAUUGACGGAGCGAAGCGACGUCAAAGCGUUCAUUAAAGUCGAGUUGGCUUAGGGAUACGUUCGUUGGGUAGGGGAGCGUUCUGUAAGCCUGUGAAGGUGUGUCGUGAGGCAUGCUGGAGGUAUCAGAAGUGCGAAUGCUGACAUAAGUAACGAUAAAGCGGGUGAAAAGCCCGCUCGCCGGAAGACCAAGGGUUCCUGUCCAACGUUAAUCGGGGCAGGGUGAGUCGACCCCUAAGGCGAGGCCGAAAGGCGUAGUCGAUGGGAAACGGGUUAAUAUUCCCGUACUUGGUGUUACUGCGAAGGGGGGACGGAGAAGGCUAUGUUGGCCGGGCGACGGUUGUCCCGGUUUAAGCGUGUAGGUGUGUGUUCCAGGUAAAUCCGGUUCACUUUAACACUGAGGCGUGACGACGAGGCACUACGGUGCUGAAGCAACAAAUGCCCUGCUUCCAGGAAAAGCCUCUAAGCAUCAGGUAACACGAAAUCGUACCCCAAACCGACACAGGUGGUCAGGUAGAGAAUACCAAGGCGCUUGAGAGAACUCGGGUGAAGGAACUAGGCAAAAUGGUGCCGUAACUUCGGGAGAAGGCACGCUGACACGUAGGUGAAGUGAUUUACUCAUGGAGCUGAAGUCAGUCGAAGAUACCAGCUGGCUGCAACUGUUUAUUAAAAACACAGCACUGUGCAAACACGAAAGUGGACGUAUACGGUGUGACGCCUGCCCGGUGCCGGAAGGUUAAUUGAUGGGGUCAGCGUAAGCGAAGCUCCUGAUCGAAGCCCCGGUAAACGGCGGCCGUAACUAUAACGGUCCUAAGGUAGCGAAAUUCCUUGUCGGGUAAGUUCCGACCUGCACGAAUGGCGUAAUGAUGGCCAGGCUGUCUCCACCCGAGACUCAGUGAAAUUGAACUCGCUGUGAAGAUGCAGUGUACCCGCGGCAAGACGGAAAGACCCCGUGAACCUUUACUAUAGCUUGACACUGAACAUUGAGCCUUGAUGUGUAGGAUAGGUGGGAGGCUUUGAAGUGUGGACGCCAGUCUGCAUGGAGCCGACCUUGAAAUACCACCCUUUAAUGUUUGAUGUUCUAACGUGGACCCGUAAUCCGGGUUGCGGACAGUGUCUGGUGGGUAGUUUGACUGGGGCGGUCUCCUCCUAAAGAGUAACGGAGGAGCACGAAGGUUGGCUAAUCCUGGUCGGACAUCAGGAGGUUAGUGCAAUGGCAUAAGCCAGCUUGACUGCGAGCGUGACGGCGCGAGCAGGUGCGAAAGCAGGUCAUAGUGAUCCGGUGGUUCUGAAUGGAAGGGCCAUCGCUCAACGGAUAAAAGGUACUCCGGGGAUAACAGGCUGAUACCGCCCAAGAGUUCAUAUCGACGGCGGUGUUUGGCACCUCGAUGUCGGCUCAUCACAUCCUGGGGCUGAAGUAGGUCCCAAGGGUAUGGCUGUUCGCCAUUUAAAGUGGUACGCGAGCUGGGUUUAGAACGUCGUGAGACAGUUCGGUCCCUAUCUGCCGUGGGCGCUGGAGAACUGAGGGGGGCUGCUCCUAGUACGAGAGGACCGGAGUGGACGCAUCACUGGUGUUCGGGUUGUCAUGCCAAUGGCACUGCCCGGUAGCUAAAUGCGGAAGAGAUAAGUGCUGAAAGCAUCUAAGCACGAAACUUGCCCCGAGAUGAGUUCUCCCUGAGACUUAGAGUCUCCUGAAGGAACGUUGAAGACGACGACGUUGAUAGGCCGGGUGUGUAAGCGCAGCGAUGCGUUGAGCUAACCGGUACUAAUGAACCGUGAGGCUUAACCUU